rnacentral:rRNA from 1 species
GACGAACCGUGCGAACGUUGUCCGGAAUUACUGGGUGUAAAGGGCGUGUAGGCGGGGAUGUAAGUCAGAUGUGAAAUUCCGAGGCUCAACCUCGGCGCUGCAUCUGAAACUAUAUCUCUUGAGUGCUGGAGAGGAAAGCGGAAUUCCUAGUGUAGCGGUGAAAUGCGUAGAUAUUAGGAGGAACACCAGUGGCGAAGGCGGCUUUCUGGACAGUAACUGACGCUGAGGCGCGAAAGCGUGGGGAGCAAACAGG